rnacentral:rRNA from 1 species
UACGUAGGUGGCAAGCGUUGUUCGGAAUUACUGGGCGUAAAGGGCGCGUAGGCGGCCUGCUAAGUCGAACGUGAAAUCCCUGGGCUCAACCCAGGAACUGCGUCCGAUACUGGUUGGCUUGAAUCCGGGAGAGGGGAUGCGGAAUUCCAGGUGUAGCGGUGAAAUGCGUAGAUAUCUGGAGGAACACCGGUGGCGAAGGCGGCAUCCUGGACCGGCAUUGACGCUGAGGCGCGAAAGCCAGGGGGAGCAAACGGGG